GAUUCCCCUAGUAACUGCGAGUGAAGCGGGAAAAGCUCAAAUUUGAAAUCUGGCAGUCUUUUUUUUCUUCUUUUGGCUGUCCGAGUUGUAAUCUAGAGAAGUGCUUACCUGCAUUGGACCAUGUAUAAGUCUCCUGGAAUGGAGCGUCACAGAGGGUGAGAAUCCCGUCUUUGACAUGGACUGCCAGUGUGUUGUGGUGUGCUCUCAAAGAGUCGAGUUGUUUGGGAAUGCAGCUCUAAAUGGGUGGUAAACUCCAUCUAAAGCUAAAUAUUGGCGAGAGACCGAUAGUGAACAAGUACCGUGAGGGAAAGAUGAAAAGGACUUUGGAAAGAGAGUUAAACAGUAUGUGRAAUUGUUGAAAGGGAAACGCUUGAAGUCAGUUAUGUUGGCUAGGGAUCAACUUGGCUAUUUUUUUUUGCUGGGUGAUUUUCCUAGUUUGACAGGCCAACAUCAGUUUUGACUGCUGGAAAAGAGCAGAGGGAAUGUGGCACCUUCGGGUGUGUUAUAGCCUUUUGUCAUAUGUGGCAGUUGGGACUGAGGGAUGCAGUGUGCCGUGAGGCUGGGUUUUUGACCACGUUCACGCUUAGGAUGUUGGCUUUUAAUGGCUUCAAUCGACCCGUCUUGAAACACGGACCAAGGAGUCUAACAUGCCUGCGAGUAUUUGGGUGGGGAAAACCCUUGUGCACAAUGAAAGUGAAAGUUGAGAUCCCUGUCAUGGGGAGCAUCGACGCCCGGACCUGAGCUUUUAGCGAUGGAUCCGCGGUAGAGCAUGCAUGUUGGGACCCGAAAGAUGGUGAACUAUGCCUGAAUAGGGCAAAGCCAGAGGAAACUCUGGUGGAGGCUCGUAGCGAUUCUGACGUGCAAAUCGAUCGUCAAAUUUGGGUAUAGGGG
rnacentral:rRNA from 1 species